rnacentral:lncRNA from 1 species
GUGAGCAUAAUUGGAAGGGCUAUGCUAUGGGUGCUGCUGUGUAAGUGAUGAUUAUAGUUUGGGCUGAGAUGAAAGAGGUUAGAAAAUAGUACCAAGUAAUGAUAAAAUAACUUCACCUGUGAAACGUUGCACUACUGAACUGAAAGCACUUGUGGUCUAAUAGCAAAAAAAUAAAAGCCACUUCGAACAAAUUGGAGCUGCUUCUGCCCAUUCAAUGGUCUGUACUGUUUAGGGUGGUUGCCAGCAAUGGUGCUAAAAGAGAAAAUGGAAAAUAUAUAGGAAGUGAAACUGGGAAAGUUUCCAUACACU